GGGUGCGAUCAUACCAGUGUUAAUGCACCGGAUCCUAUCAGAACUUCACAGUUAAGCGCGCUUGGGCUAGAGUAGUACUGGGAUGGGUGACCUCCCGAGAAGUCCUAGAUUUGCACCCU
rnacentral:rRNA from 1 species